AUCAAACUGACGAGUUCAGAAUAGGACGAAAUACGUGUCCUGGAU
rfam:Schistosoma mattheei strain Denwood, Zambia genome assembly, scaffold: SMTD_scaffold0000548